UUGCUUUGUUAUUUGCUGAUGUGGCAAAAUAUUUCUAUCUUCUUUCUUCUUUCUCUGUCUCUGAUGAGUUGCUUUUUGGUUGAAAAUUUACCUAGUGUAUAUUGCUUUCAAGAUAAUAGCAAGAUCUUCUGCACCUCGAUUGCAUCAAAUUUUCCAACAUUGGAAUCUUCAUUUCACUUCCCUACUUUCUCCUCCUCCAUACGCCCCUUUUCUCUCUUUUCUUCCCUUUUCACUUUCUCUACAACCAUCAACAAUGAUCCGGCGACGGUGAUUGGGUCAUCGGAACCCUAAUUGUUUCCAUUUACAAUGAGCCUUCCAUCCACGGUAACCACUCAGCACUAUCAAACUCCGAGAGACCGAGGAACGGAAGGACAAAUAGCCUCUAAACGAGGAUAUAGAAAACAGAUCUAGAAAGAAGGUGAAGCAACUCAAACCAACUCGCAAAACGAAUCUGGCCAUUAUAUUGAAUGAGGUGAUAAGAUCUGAUACUCCCAGCAGCAAGUCUGCUACAUUUAUACCUAGAGUUUUCAUAUUAGGCAAGGCAAGAUCACUUAAAUCAGAUGCCGCUUCACGUUCUCCUGAUUUUCCACUCGAUUAUCAGCACCGAAAGGGUGGCUGCAAAUCCAAUUGCUGCAAAGAAUAUUGACUCAUCGGUUUGGUGCCUCCGAAGAUCUUGGCUGUAACACCCCCGAUUUUACUAACUGAAAAUAAAUAAGAAUUAAAGGAAAAAUAAACAACCUUUAAAUAAAAUUGCAGAAGCAUACACCUAAAUCGCGGGUAUCACCGCCACACUCAACAACCUGUCGAGUGUUAAGGCUUACAAAACCCAACUGUACAACUCAAUAAAUCUAGGUGAGCUAUUUAUACAACUUUAUAAACUCGUUAUAGCAUAUUAAUCGAUCACUUGAGCUCCUUUAGCUACGAUCACUUGAUCAACCUGCUUAAAUAAUCUUGAAUGCUCACCAUUAAGGAGAAAUUCCAAAAUAGAUCGUCGCAGGGCCACCAUAAGAAAAAGAAAUGGCCGCAAACACAAGUAGCACAACAAAAUAACACACACGUCAGCAAAAGCUGAGUAAUCACCACAUAUCAGAAUACAGAGUAUAAUAGGAUAAUUAACAUUACUAGCUCAAUUAAAUAAUGUAGUUCAAAACUACAUAACACAUUGUACUCUGAAUAACCUUUAUCAACUCAACUUAAAAUAAUAAUACAAUCCUUCACUCAAUUAACUCAUAACUAAUAGUGUGCCAUGCUCUUUGUUCUAUACCUAGCCUUGGACGUGGGUAAUUCGAAUAAAACCAACAAGUAUAAAAACUUGAAUA